ACGGAAGGCAGCAGUGGGGAAUAUUGCACAAUGGGGGCAACCCUGAUGCAGCAACGCCGCGUGAGUGAUGAAGUAUUUCGGUAUGUAAAACUCUAUCAGCAGGGAAGAAGAUGACGGUACCUGACUAAGAAGCACCGGCUAAAUACGUGCCAGCAGCCGCGGUAAUACGUAUGGUGCAAGCGUUAUCCGGAGUUACUGGGUGUAAAGGGAGCGCAGGCGGCCUUGCAAGCCAGAGGUGAAAACCCGGGGCUCAACCCCGUGAUUGCCUUGGGAACUGUUUGGCUUGAGUGCUGGAGGGGCAAGCGGAAUUCCUGGUGUAGCGGUGAAAUGCGUAGAUAUCAGGAGGAACACCGGUGGCGAAGGCGGCCUGCUGGACAGUAACUGACGUUGAGGCUCGAAAGCGUGGGGAGCAAACAGGAUUAGAUACCCUGGUA
rnacentral:rRNA from 1 species